rnacentral:rRNA from 1 species
ACGCUCGACACCUACUGGAGGCAGCAGUGGGGAAUAUUGCACAAUGGGGGAAACCCUGAUGCAGCGACGCCGCGUGGACGGAAGAAGGUCUUCGGAUUGUAAACUCCUGUUGGUUGGGGGAAAAAAGAGGAUGGUACCCAACAAGGAAGUGACGGCUAACUACGUGUCAGCAGCCGACGGUAAUCUGAGGCGGGCUGGACAAGGC